GAGGACAGAAACGAGGAAGUCGGCCAGGAGGGACAAAACUAAUGUGAUUACUCCUUUAAGUGUGUGUGACUACACCAGAGCUCGUAGGGGGAAGGACAGGGAGGCUCCUAUGGACAGCCCGAGGGCCAAGAAGAAGGUCAUCAGGGCUCCGGCAGUCUCUCCGUCCUUCGGAUCCACCAACCUGAGCAGGGAGGAACAGAGGGUCAGACAUGAAACACGACACUGGGGCUUUUGUUGAGGGUGUUUGGGUCGCAGGUACGCAAUGUUGCCAUGGUGAUAGAGCUCAAACAGAAGUGGUUUUGGACACAUCUUGUUGGUUCAAUAGGUUGGACUCACUGCGGAGCGUAGGACAUGGACAGGCAGACGAAGUACCCGCUGGACAGAGAGAAGAGCGCCAUGAUGAUGGCGAAAGCAGCGUCGUGGCUGAAGAAGACGGGCAGGAAGGAGCGAUUCUGGACGUUACAGAGCAUCAGCAGCGGGAUGAACACCACCCUGGAGACGACGAGCAGCGGGAACAGGCGAGACUCCUUACCAGGCUGCAAGGAGACAGGAGGGAGGGAAUGAAGGGGUUAAAAGAUGGAUCUUACAGAUAAGUCUAAACCAUCAUUCCUGCAUGUGCAAUUUUUUGAAACACUGAAUAAAGUUUAUGCAAAAAAAGUUCAGCAAGAAGUGACACACCCAAUUUUACUGCUGUUGCAACAUACAGUUUUAGAGUUGUCUCUGAUUUGCAAUGCCAUUUGUAACCUACCCAACAAAUGAAGGUGGUGACGGUCCGACCGAUCCAGUCGUUGAGGUUGAAAAUCAAGAAGCAGCACACUGAGAUGAAGAAGCGCUCUGAGGGGAGAACAAGCAGCAGGAGGAAUGGAUUUAAUUAUUUCACGAGAGAUAAACUGUUAACACAUGUAUAGAUAUCCAGGAGUAAUGUUUUUGCAGCAGAGAUCUAACUGGAAAUACCCCAUUUCCCUGGGAAGGAGGUCCUGACAUCCGCGGUGACAGCGGGGAAGACAGACAGAGUGACUGUGAACACGAAGGUCACGCAGAAGGCCAUCACCCAGAUCUGAAUGAGAGAAAACACACACAUUUCAUACAUCACACUUCGAUGCUUUUAUUCUAAACAAAAAGACUAAUAACAAAAAUGUGAGUCACAACUGACACCUUCAAAGAAACCUGUUUCUCAUGUGAAUAGAGCCCUCAGUUAGCUCUCAUACAGGAGAAGCAGCUCAAAGUGUUUCACAAUAUGGGAAUACAGACAUAGAUAAACAGAACAGACAGAAUGCUAAAACUACUAUGACAUGAACAUGAUGCUAUCAAAGUAAAGAGAUGCAAAUACAAAAUGUAAUUGUAUCCUUAAAAUAUGAUGAAAACCUUUGAAUAAUAAUUGAAAAUGUGUAUACAAAUAGUUGAAAGUAAAAAAAGUUGGAAUCAGUA